CUUCUUCUUGUUCCCUUUUAGCCUUUCUGCGUUUGUGGUAGACCUUGGAGAACUUCUUCAACUUCCGGUUUCUCUCCUGGGCUCCGUGGGUGUUGGUGCUGGACGAGUCGAUGCCGAAGACCCGGAGGCCGUGCUGCAGGGACAGGAAGGAGCUCAGCACUUGGCUAAACAGUCCACCACCUCCGACAUGGAUUGGACCUCAUGGGAUUUCUUUGUGUUCAUAAACUCGUCCGGCUCCAACUCAUCCGUGGAAGUAUCGCCCAAUUCAGACAUGUUUCGUCUGAGGACCUCCAGAAGCUCAUUGCGGCUCAUGCAGAGUCCCAGACCAGGAAUUGAGUGGGCCUUUGCUUCUCGCAAAAGUUCAUGGACAUCGACCAGGCGGUUUGUAUCGUGGCAAAACCCAAAUGUGGUCUUGGAUUGCUCUGUUAUAAAGGAAUACAUUAGAAUGCAGAAUCAGUCGAUGUAAACCUAGGGUCAGCAACCCACAGCUCGAGAGCCGCAUGUGGCACUAUAUCGCCGCCCUAGUGGCUCGCUGGACCUCUUUCAAACAUGUGUGCAAAUGGAAAAAGAUGAAGAAAAAAAUAUUGUUUGUGAAUAUUUUCUGUAGUGGAACAAACAUCACACAAACCUUCCUAAUUUUUAGAAAUCCCACACUUUUGUCCUUCAAAUUUCAGCAAUCUUUGAUCUCAUACAACUUUCUCCGAUGCUGCCACAGUUUUAUACCACUUCUUCUUUGUCUCAUUUUGUCCACUGUUAGAAUAAUCAUGUAUAUAUUAUCACACUAACUUUAGAAUGAUUAAAGUCUGUUGCUUUAGUUAUUAGCUAUUGUGCUCAAGUUGAACUUUUGUUCUAAUCUAUGCAAGGACAAAACUUCUUGUCUGAGCAUGAUGUUAUCACAGUUUUGGCUCACUGGCAGCCAAGGACUUCGGAGACCUCGGCAUUGAUGGGAUGACAGCACGCAGACGAGACAGAGACUUCAAGGAUCUCAACGAAGAUAAGAUGACAACACGCGGACGAACUCGGCGACAAGGAAAAAUCCCAUUCCGUCACGUACUAUGCGUCCUGGACCUGCUUUGCAUAAUAUAUGUGACCACUCCUUUUAGAGAGGCAGCUUCAGUGAUGUUGACUAUGGAAUUCUGAAUAAAAAGGGGAACGCGGAAACUGGACCUUAGAGCAUAGGGCGAGACUGUGACUAAGUGUGCAGUGCCCGCGUUCUCCUCAUGAGCCCUAUUUAACUCUGUGUCUGCUUGGUUCCUUGCUUCUUGUCUGAUUAAUAGAUGUCAUCAGUGUUUGAA